rnacentral:rRNA from 1 species
GCUAACGGCGUAGCAGUGGCGGGCGUAAUGCGGUGGCGAGGGUCGGUGGCCGGAGUUAGUGUGCGUGAAGGGCGCGCCAGCGGUCUUGCGGGUCGAUGGUGAAAGCUCGCGGCUUAACCGGGAGAGGAACAGGCAAACGGGCAGGCGUGAGCGUCGGAGAGGGGCAGGGAACUCCGGGUGGAGCUGUGAAAUGCGUAGAGAUCCGGAAGAACACCAAUGGCGAAGGCAGUGCCCUGGCCGACCGCUGACGCUCAGGCGCGAAAGCGUGGGGAGCAAACAGGAUUAGAUACCCGGGUAGUC